rnacentral:rRNA from 1 species
CAAUAGCGUAUAUUUAAGUUGUUGCGGUUAAAAAGCUCGUAGUUGGAUUUCGGGUGGGACGCAGCGGUCUCGCAUUGCGUUUGUACUGCUGCAGCCCUCCUUCUUGCCGGGGGCGGCCUCUCGGACUUCACUGUCUGGGGGUCAGAAUCGGCGAUGUUACUUUGAGUAAAUUAGAGUGUUCAAAGCAAGCUUACGCUCUGAAUAUAAUAGCAUGGGAUAACACGACAGGACUCUGGCCUAUCGUGUUGGUCUAUAGGACCAGAGUAAUGAUUAAGAGGGACAGUCGGGGGCAUUCGUAUUCCGUUGUCAGAGGUGAAAUUCUUGGAUUUACGGAAGACGAACAUCUGCGAAAGCAUUUGCCAAGGAUGUUUUCAUUGA